rfam:Oryza sativa Japonica Group DNA, chromosome 11, cultivar: Nipponbare, complete sequence.
UUUAAGUAUAGUUGUGGGUUUCUAUGUCCAAUGUUUAAUCAUUUGUCUUAUUUAAAUUUUUUUUUAAAAAAAAUAAGUUAAGCAUAAAGUAUUAUUCAUGUUUUAUCAUCUAAUAAUAAUAUAGAUACUAAUCAUAAAAAAAUUUAAAUAAGAUGAACGGUUAAACGUUGGACAAUAAACCCACAAUUGUAUUUAAA